CCCCUAGAUGUUCUGGGCCGCACGCGCGCUACACUGAACAGUUCAACAAGUCUUAACCUUGGCCGAUAGGUCUGGGUAAUCUUUGAACGCUGUUCGUGAUUGGGAUAGACCUUUGCAAUUAUGGGUCUUCAACGAGGAAUUCCCAGUAAACGCAAGUCAUCAGCUUGCAUUGAUUACGUCCCUGCCCUUUGUACACACCGCCCGUCGCACCUACCGAUUGAAUGGUCCGGUGAAAUCUCGGGACGGCGGCUUGGUCGCUUGCGUCCGACUGCUGAAACUUGAUUAAACCAUAUCAUUUAGAGGAAGGUGAANUCGUAACA
rnacentral:rRNA from 1 species